UACGUAGGGAGCAAGCGUUGUCCGGAAUCAUUGGGCGUAAAGCGCGCGUAGGUGGCCCAGUAAGUCCGUUCUGAAAGUCACAGGCUCAACUUGUGAAAGCGGAUGGAUACUGCUGGGCUAGAGUCCGGAAGAGGCGAGUGGAAUUCCUGGUGUAGCGGUGGAAUGCGCAGAUAUCAGGAGGAACACCAACGGCGAAGGCAGCUCGCUGGGACGGUACUGACACUGAGGCGCGAAAGCGUGGGGAGCGAACAGG
rnacentral:rRNA from 1 species